UGUUUCGGCUAGGGGGCCAUCCCGGCUUACCAACCCGAUGCAAACUGCGAAUACCGGAGAAUGUUAUCACGGGAGACACACGGCGGGUGCUAACGUCCGUCGUGAAGAGGGAAACAACCCAGACCGCCAGCUAAGGUCCCAAAGUCAUGGUUAAGUGGGAAACGAUGUGGGAAGGCCCAGACAGCCAGGAUGUUGGCUUAGAAGCAGCCAUCAUUUAAAGAAAGCGUAAUAGCUCACUGGUCGAGUCGGCCUGCGCGGAAGAUGUAACGGGGCUAAACCAUGCACCGAAGCUGCGGCAGCGACGCUGAUGCGUUGUUGGGUAGGGGAGCG
rnacentral:rRNA from 1 species